rnacentral:rRNA from 1 species
UUAGAAUGCAGUCGCACGGGACAGCAUGAGUAGUAAUACGAUUGCUGUUUAGUGGCGCACGGGUGAGUAACACGUGAAUUACAUGCCCUUCAGUGGGGAAUAGCCCAGGGAAACUUGGAUUAAUACCCCAUGGUAUCGCAAGAUUAAAGGUGGCCGCAAGGCUGCCGCUGAAGGAUUGGUUCGCGCCCUAUCAGCUUGUUGGUGAGGUAACGGCUCACCAAGGCUACGACGGGUACCUGGUCUGAGAGGACGAUCAGGCACACUGGAACUGAGACACGGUCCAGACACCUACGGGUGGCAGCAGUCGAGAAUAAUUCACAAUGGGCGAAAGCCUGAUGGUGCAACGCCGCGUGGAGGAUGACGGUCUUCGGAUUGUAAACUCCUGUCAUCCGGGAGAAAGACCUGGCCGUUAAUAGCGGACAGGGUUGAUAGUACCGGAAGAGGAAGGGACGGCUAACUUCGUGCCAGCAGCCGCGGUAAUACGAAGGUCCCGAGCGUUGUUCGGAAUCACUGGGCGUAAAGGGAGCGUAUGCGGCGCGGUAAGUCGGAUGUGAAAUCCCGGGGCUCAACCCCGGAACUGCAUCUGAUACUGCCGUGCUUGAGCAAUGGAGGGGUAGCUGGAAUUCUCGGUGUAGCAGUGAAAUGCGUAGAUAUCGAGAGG